rnacentral:rRNA from 1 species
GAGUUUGAUCGUGGCUCAGGACGAACGCUGGCGGCGUGCCUAACACAUGCAAGUCGCACGGGGUAGCAAUACCCAGUGGCGAACGGGUGCGUAACACGUGAGGAACAUACCUAUCGGCGGGGGAUAGCCGGCCCAACGGCCGGGUAAUACCGCGUACGCUCUCUGGGGGGCAUCUCCUGGGGAGGAAAGCAGCAAUGCACCGAUAGAGUGCCUCGCGGCCUAUCAGCUAGUUGGUGAGGUAACGGCUCACCAAGGCGACGACGGGUAGCUGGUCUGAGAGGAUGAUCAGCCACAUUGGGACUGAGACACGGCCCAGACUCCUACGGGAGGCAGCAGUGGGGAAUAUUGCACAAUGGGGGAAACCCUGAUGCAGCAACGCCGCGUGAAGGAAGAAGGCCUUCGGGUUGU